GGGGAAUAUUGCACAAUGGGCGCAAGCCUGAUGCAGCGACGCCGCGUGAGGGAUGAAGGCCUUCGGGUUGUAAACCUCUUUCGUCAGGGAACAAGGCACUGCUUUUUUGGUGGUGUUGAGGGUACCUGGAUAAGAAGCGCCGGCUAACUACGUGCCAGCAGCCGCGGUAAUACGUAGGGCGCAAGCGUUGUCCGGAAUUAUUGGGCGUAAAGAGCUCGUAGGCGGCUGGUCGCGUCUGUCGUGAAAACUUCCGGCUCAACCGGGGGCUUGCGGUGGGUACGGGCCGGCUAGAGUGCGGUAGGGGUAACUGGAACUCCUGGUGUAGCGGUGGAAUGCGCAGAUAUCAGGAAGAACACCGAUGGCGAAGGCAGGUUACUGGGCCGUUACUGACGCUGAGGAGCGAAAGCGUGGGGAGCGAACAGGAUUAGAUACCCUGGUAGUCCACGCUGUAAACGUUGGGCACUAGGUGUGAGGCUCCUUUCCGGGGGUUUUGCGCCGUAGCUAACGCAUUAAGUGCCCCGCCUGGGGAGUACGGCCGCAAGGCUA
rnacentral:rRNA from 1 species